AGCUACCCGCUAAGAAAAGCGUAACAGCUUACCGGCCGAGGUUUGAGGCGCCCAAAAUGAUCGGGGCUCAAAUCUACCACCGAGACCUGGCCGUGCCCUUGACAGGGGCAACCGCGUAGGUUGGCGUUCUGUUCGGAUGGAAGCUCGGGCGAGAGCUCGCGUGGACCGUUCAGAAACGACAAUCCUGGUCACAGUAGCAGCGAUAGUCGGGUGAGAACCUCGACGGCCUGAUGAGCAAGGGUUCCUCGGCACUGCCACUCAGCCGAGGGUCAGCCGGUCCUAAGAUGCACCGUAAUUCGACUGCAUCAACGGGAAACUGGUUAAUAUUCCAGUGCCAUCGUGCAGUAAACGUCGACGCCGUGUGGAACGCUGAGCCGGGCUUUCGCCCGGUCAAAUCGUGGAAACUCGUGGAAGCCGUCACGGCACGAAGCGAGCGAAGCGCGAGAUAGCGCAAGUCAGCCGUACAUAGGGCCCGUGAAAAGACAAGCACGAUGUCCGUACCGAGAUCCGACACAGGUGCUCUGGCAGCGCAAGCCAAGGCCUGUCGGGAGAACCGACGUUAGGGAAUUCGGCAAGUUAGUCCCGUACCUUCGGAAGAAGGGAUGCCUGCUCUCUAC
rnacentral:rRNA from 1 species